rnacentral:lncRNA from 1 species
GGUAUCCUUGCUAGUCUAAGUGUACAGGCAGUAUAGUAUAACACAGCCUCUCUUUCCCCAAAUAUAUUCCUCAAGACAUGACUAGAUGAUCAAUGAGAAAAGAGUUCCAUGAACGUGCAAGUUCAAGAAACAUUGGAGUAAACCAGGUUCAAUAGCCUUCUUUGCUACGGGCCUUCUCAGGGCCUUAGUAAGCUAAGGCACUCGUGAUUCUCAGAGGAUUACAGCGUGCAGCCUUUGACCACAGAAGACAUCUUUAUACCAGAGUAUGUGGAUCACCAGCUCCGAGGACAGUUGAAGCUGGGAGGUGCCACUGGCCACCUUUGUCACCACUGAGAGAAGCAUGCCUGGUGUUGAAGCCAACACAGAGGGACGGAGAACCAAAGUUUUGCCUUGGCCCCGCCCCUUUUGAGCUACGAGCACCAGAUGGAGGGGCUGGAGCUGGCUUCCCUCGAGCUAAGUCACAGCCAAUCAGAUGGACCCACCAGCUUUCAACCAGAAGCUGGUGAUGCAAAGAAGUGGGGCCAAUGGAAAAGCCAUUCUGGUGAGGCCAGCAGCAGGAGCAGCAAUUUCUGAUCUCCAGGGACAGUGAUGGUGGCAACGGUACCUUGGUGAUGUCCUCUGGUCAGGCAAGAUGUCAUCAGUGUCCUCACCAGUGACCACAAUUCUG